rnacentral:rRNA from 1 species
UACGGAGGGUGCGAGCGUUAAUCGGAAUUACUGGGCGUAAAGCGCACGUAGGCGGUCAGGCAAGUCGGGUGUGAAAGCCCUGGGCUCAACCUGGGAAUUGCAUUCGAAACUAUCUGACUCGAGUAUGGGAGAGGGAAGCGGAAUUUCCGGUGUAGCGGUGAAAUGCGUAGAUAUCUGGAGGAACACCGGUGGCGAAGGCGGCAUCCUGGACCGGCAUUGACGCUGAGGAGCGAAAGCCAGGGGAGCAAACGGG